AGUGAACGCUGGCGGCAGGCCUAACACAUGCAAGUCGAACGGCAGCACAGUAAGAGUUUGCUCUUACGGGUGGCGAGUGGCGGACGGGUGAGGAAUACAUCGGACUCUACUUUUUCGUGGGGGAUAACGUAGGGAAACUUACGCUAAUACCGUAUACGACCUAGGGGUGAAAGCAGGGGAUCUUCGCACCUUGCGCGAAUGAAUGCGCCGAUGUCGGAUUAGCUAGUUGGCGGGGUAAAGGCCCACCAAGGCGACGAUCCGUAGCUGGUCUGAGAGGAUGAUCAGCCACACUGGAACUGAGACACGGUCCAGACUCCUACGGGAGGCAGCAGUGGGGAAUAUUGGACAAUGGGCGCAAGCCUGAUCCAGCCAUGCCGCGUGGGUGAAGAAGGCCUUCGGGUUGUAAAGCCCUUUUGUUGGGGAAGAAAAGCAGCAGGUUAAUACCCCGCUGUUCUGACGGUACCCAAAGAAUAAGCACCGGCUAACUUCGUG
rnacentral:rRNA from 1 species